UACGUAGGGCGCAAGCGUUGUCCGGAAUUAUUGGGCGUAAAGAGCUCGUAGGUGGUUUGUCGCGUCUGUCGUGAAAGCCCGGGGCUUAACUCCGGGUCUGCGGUGGAUACGGGCAGACUAGAGGCAGGUAGGGGAGAACGGAAUUCCCGGUGUAGCGGUGAAAUGCGCAGAUAUCGGGAGGAACACCGAUGGCGAAGGCAGGUCUCUGGGCAUUAACUGACGCUGGGGAGCGAAAGCAUGGGGAGCGAACAGG
rnacentral:rRNA from 1 species